GCGGUGGUAGUUCAGUGGUAGAACGUCUCGUUGCCAACGAGAAGGUCGCCGGUUCGAGUCCGGUUCACCGCU
rnacentral:tRNA from 1 species